AUUGAACGCUGGCGGCAGGCCUAACACAUGCAAGUCGAACGAGUAGCGGACGGGUGAGUAAUGUCUGGGAAACUGCCUGAUCGAGGGGUGUAACGGCUGGAAACGGUAGCUAAUACUGCAAACCACGCGUUGUGCUCAGAUUGGAUUAGCUAGUAGGUGGGGUAACGGCUCACCUAGGCGACGAUCCCUAGCUGGUCUGAGAGGAUGACCAGCCACACUGGAACUGAGACACGGUCCAGACUCCUACGGGAGGCAGCAGUGGGGAAUAUUGCACAAUGGGCGAAAGCCUGAUGCAGCCAUGCCGCGUGUAUGAAGAAGGCCUUCGGAUUGUAAAGUACUUUCAGCGAGGAGGCGGUACUCGCAGAAGAAGCACCGGCUAACUCCGUGCCAGCAGCCGCGGUAAUUC
rnacentral:rRNA from 1 species